AGAGUUUGAUCCUGGCUCAGAUUGAACGCUAGCGGGAUGCUUUACACAUGCAAGUCGAACGGCAGCACAGUAAGAGCUUGCUCUUAUGGGUGGCGAGUGGCGGACGGGUGAGGAAUACAUCGGAAUCUACCUUUUCGUGGGGGAUAACGUAGGGAAACUUACGCUAAUACCGCAUACGACCUUCGGGUGAAAGCAGGGGACCUUCGGGCCUUGCGCGGAUAGAUGAGCCGAUGUCGGAUUAGCUAGUUGGCGGGGUAAAGGCCCACCAAGGCGACGAUCCGUAGCUGGUCUGAGAGAUGAUCAGCACCACUGGAAUGAGACACGGUCCAGAAUCCUACGGGAGGCAGCAGUGGGGGAUAUUGGACAAUGGGCGCAAGCCUGAUCCAGCCAAUGCCCGGCGUGUGUGAAGAAGGCCUUCGGGUUGUAAAGCACUUUUAUCAGGAACGAAAUACCACGGGUCAAUAACCGGUGGGGCUGACGGUACCUGAGGAAUAAGCACCGGCUAACUUCGUGCCAGCAGCCGCGGUAAUACGAAGGGUGCAAGCGUUAAUCGGAAUUACUGGGCGUAAAGGGUGCGUAGGCGGUUCGUUAAGUCUGUUGUGAAAUCCCCGGGCUCAACCUGGGAAUGGCAAUGGAUACUGGCGAGCUAGAGUGUGUCAGAGGAUGGUGGAAUUUCCGGUGUAGCAGUGAAAUGCGUAGAGAUGUGGAGGAAUACCGAUGGCGAAGGCAGCCCCCUGGGAUGAUACUGACGCUCAUGCACGAAAGCGUGGGGAGCAAACAGGAUUAGAUACCCUGGUAGUC
rnacentral:rRNA from 1 species